rnacentral:rRNA from 1 species
GCUUGUCUCAAAGAUUAAGCCAUGCAUGUCUAAGUAUAAGCACCCUUAUACUGCGAAACUGCGUACAGCUCAUUAUAUCAGCAAUUAUUUAUUUGAAGGUCACCUAUUACAUGGAUAACCGUGGUAAUUCUAGAGCUAAUACAUGCACUCGAGCCUCGACCGAGGCCCCGGCAACGGGGUCGCGGAAGAGGUGCUUUUAUUAGAUCAAAACCAGUCGGGGAAACGAUCGCGCCGGGUCAAACCGGUCGGUCGCGGAACCGUACCAAUUUUGGUGACUCUGGAUAACUUCACGCCGAUCGCACGGCCUUCGCGCCGGCGACGUAUCUUUCAAAUGUCUGCCUUAUCAACUGUCGAUGGUAGGUUACGCGCCUACCAUGGUUGCAACGGGUAACGGGGAAUCGGGGUUCGAUUCCGGAGAGGGAGCCUGAGAAACGGCUACCACAUCCAAGGAAGGCAGCAGG